UUCCGGUUGAUCCUGCCGGACCUGACUGCUAUCGGAUUGAUACUAAGCCAUGCGAGUCAUUGUAGCAAUACAAGGCAUACGGCUCAGUAACGCGUAGUCAACCUAACCUAUGGACGGGAAUAACCUCGGGAAACUGAGAAUAAUGCCCGAUAGAACACUAUACCUGGAAUGGUUUGUGUUCCAAAUGAUUUAUCGCCAUAGGAUGGGACUGCGGCCUAUCAGUUUGUUGGUGAGGUAAUGGCCCACCAAGACUAUUACAGGUACGGGCUCUGAGAGGAGUAGCCCGGAGAUGGGUACUGAGACACGGACCCAGGCCCUAUGGGGCGCAGCAGGCGAGAAAACUUUGCAAUGUGCGAAAGCACGACAAGGUUAAUCCGAGUGAUUUGUGCUAAACGAAUCUUUUGUUAGUCCUAGAAACACUAACGAAUAAGGGGUGGGCAAGUUCUGGUGUCAGCCGCCGCGGUAAAACCAGCACCUCAAGUGGUCAGGAUGAUUAUUGGGCCUAAAGCAUCCGUAGCCGGCUCUGUAAGUUUUCGGUUAAAUCUGUACGCUUAACGUACAGGCUGCCGGGAAUACUGCAGAGCUAGGGAGUGGGAGAGGUAGACGGUACUCGGUAGGAAGGGGUAAAAUCCUUUGAUCUAUUGAUGACCACCUGUGGCGAAGGCGGUCUACCAGAACACGUCCGACGGUGAGGGAUGAAAGCUGGGGGAGCAAACCGGAUUAGAUACCCGGGUAGUCCCAGCUGUAAACUAUGCAAACUCAGUGAUGCAUUGGCUUGUGGCCAAUGCAGUGCUGCAGGGAAGCCGUUAAGUUUGCCGCCUGGGAAGUACGUACGCAAGUAUGAAACUUAAAGGAAUUGGCGGGGGAGCACCACAAGGGGUGAAGCCUGCGGUUCAAUUGGAGUCAACGCCGGG
rnacentral:rRNA from 1 species